rnacentral:tRNA from 1 species
GCCCCCGUAGCUCAGGUGGAUAGAGCACCAGAUUCCUAAUCUGGGUGCCGCAAGUUCGAGUCUUGCCGGGGGCA